CUUCUGGUUUAAUCAAGAUCCUAGGCUCGCGAUUAACAACUGAAUAGUCGCAGUCAGCGCCAAAACGCUGGCUAGUCGUUAUCCUCAGGAAACGGCAACAUAUCCCAACUGCGGGAAAGGCUACAAUGAUUAUUUUACUACUUCCUUUAAGAAAUUAUCGGCAGAACCUACGGCGAAAGUCGCAGCUAUUGUAAGAACAAAUGAUCACAGUCAAUCCGCAUCCAAGCUACCUCAUCAGGGUAGAAGGUUCAACGACUUAAUGGAUAUGCGGUGGUGUCAGUGUUUCUAUGCUAAUAGAAACUAUAGACCUCGCCGUAAGAUAAAGUCUACUCCCUACAGAAAUGUAGUU
rnacentral:ncRNA from 1 species